CCUACGGGUGGCAGCAGUGAGGAAUAUUGGUCAAUGGGCGAGAGCCUGAACCAGCCAAGUCGCGUGAGGGAGUACUGCCCUAUGGGUUGUAAACCUCUGUUGUCUGGGAGCAAAAGCCGGACGUGUCCGGCUGUGAGAGUACCCGAAGAAAAAGCAUCGGCUAACUCCGUGCCAGCAGCCGCGGUAAUACGGAGGAUGCGAGCGUUAUGCGGAUUUAUUGGGUUAACAGGGUGCGCAGUCGGAUUUUUAAGUCAGCGGUAAAAUCGUGGGGCUCAACCCCAUCCAGCCGUUGAAACUGGGGAUCUAGAGUGUGCGAGAGGUAUGCGGAAUGCGUGGUGUAGCGGUGAAAUGCAUAGAUAUCACGCAGAACCCCGAUUGCGAAGGCAGCAUACCGGUGCACAACUGACGCUCAGGCACGAAAGCGUGGGUAUCGAACAGGAUUAGAUACCCUAGUAGUC
rnacentral:rRNA from 1 species